UGUGCGCGUAGGAGUCUUGAGAAGGGCUGUCCCUAGUACGAGAGGACCGGACGGACGAACCUCUGGUGUGCCAGUUGUUCUGCCAAGGGCAUGGCUGGUUCGGCUACGUUCGGGAGGGAUAACCGCUGAAAGCAUCUAAACGGGGAGCCUGCUUCGAGAUGAGGACUCCCACCUCCUAGAGAGGGUAACGGCUCCCAGUAGACGACUGGGUUGAUAGGCCGGAUAUCGGAAGCACGGUAACGUGUGGAGUUGGACCGGUACUAAUAGGCCGAGGGCUUGUCCUC
rnacentral:ncRNA from 1 species